UCCGGUUUGUCACCGGCAGUCUCAUUAGAGUGCCCAACUGAAUGUAGCAACUAAUGACAAGGGUUGCGCUCGUUGCGGGACUUAACCCAACAUCUCACGACACGAGCUGACGACAGCCAUGCAGCACCUGUGUUACGGCUCCCUUUCGGGCACACCCGCACCUCUGCGAGCUUCCUAGCAUGUCAAGGGUAGGUAAGGUUUUUCGCGUUGCAUCGAAUUAAUCCACAUAAUCCACCGCUUGUGCGGGUCCCCGUCAAUUCCUUUGAGUUUUAGCCUUGCGGCCGUACUCCCCAGGCGGUCAACUUCACGCGUUAGCUGCGUUACUAAGGAUGUUAAUCCCCAACAACUAGUUGCCAUCGUUUAGGGCGUGGACUAC
rnacentral:misc_RNA from 1 species